CUCGGAGCUGCCCUCACGGGACGUGAAGGUGCUGCGCUGGGCGACUCGGUCCGAUCCAAGGAACCCGAAUUGUCUGGGGCAGUACGAGAGACUGUGACACUCAGCUGUUCCUACAAUACCAGUGACGUUGCCGGCGUCUCUCUCUUUUGGUACCGCCGGUUUCCCUACCAAGCCCCUCAGUACAUUCUCCGGAGAGGAACAAAAGCAUACAGCGCUUUCACCGAUACUGCGGAUUUCGCCCAGGAGAGGUUUUCCUUUAAGGCUGCUGACAGCUCCACAGUUCUGAACAUCACAGCGCUGGAGCUGGAGGACACCGCGGUGUAUCUCUGCGCCCUGCAGCGCGCACAGUGA